rnacentral:rRNA from 1 species
GACGAACGCUGGCGGCGUGCUUAACACAUGCAAGUCGAACGGUAAGGCCCUUCGGGGUACACGAGUGGCGAACGGGUGAGUAACACGUGGGUGAUCUGCCCUGCACUUCGGGAUAAGCCUGGGAAACUGGAUCUAAUACUGGAUAGGACCCUGGGAUGCAUGUCCUGGGGUGGAAAGCUUUUGCGGUGUGGGAUGGGCCCGCGGCCUAUCAGCUGGUUGGUGGGGUGAUGGCCUACGAAGGCGACGACGGGUAGCCGGCCUGGGGGGGUGACCGGCCACACUGGGACUGAGAUACGGCCCAGACUCCUACGGGAGGCAGCAGUGGGGAAUAUUGCACAAUGGGCGCAAGCCUGAUGCAGCGACGCCGCGUGAGGGAUGACGGCCUUCGGGUUGUAAACCUCUUUCAGCACCGACGAAGCGAAAGUGACGGUAGGUGCAGAAGAAGGACCGGCCAACUACGUGCCAGCCGCCGCCGUAA